rnacentral:lncRNA from 1 species
AAUAAAUCAAAGGUGGUUCCAGCAGCAGAUGGAGGGACUGCAGAAAUGGUACAGCCUGUACCGCAACAGCGGCAGACGUGGUGCCAGCUGGAAGGGUUCGUGUUGGCCAAGCGGUGACUCAUGGCUAGAUGGGAGCAGGAGGCAUCGCCUUCCUCCUUCUCAGCAAGAGGUGGUGAGAAACACGAAGCUAGAAAUCCUCCAGAGGAGAAUAAAUUGCCACUGCAGCGUGAAGAUGGUGAGACCAACGUGGCAGCUGGCAGCUCUCGUUAGGGUUUUAAUUGGGUGCUCACCCUGUUCUGUAUCUACAGGUGUUGGUCAUCAUGCUGGUGGGGCUGGGAGGGGUGAAACAUGAGUUUGAGUGCACAGAUGUGUUAUAAAAGGGGAUAAUGGGUGAGAUUGUGGAUAAAUGAUUGGGUUGGAUGAGAACCACCUGGGCUUGGAAUUUCAGGAGCUGGCAUUGGAUCUGGCCAACCUGGGUGUGAGAUGCAGAGGCCUCAGGCAUGAGGAGACAAUCCAACGGCAAAAAGAAGGCUUGGCAGAGCUCAGGGAGAGGAUCAAGGUGCUGGAGAAGACACAGGCCUCUGCUGUACUGGGCAGGGCCAGCGAGCUGCUCAUGGUACAGAAGGCAGCCCUACCAGAGAAGGUUGCCCAGAAAGCAGGACUCCAGGUGGAACCAGCUCCACUGCCAGGUGCAGAAUUCAAGUGCAGCAGGGUAAGAAGAUACUGGUGGAAAGAUGUUCAAUUG